CGGUAUCCAUAUUUCAUAGUCUGAUAUUUUAACUUAAAAGUAUUAUUACCAAAGUUAACCUUCAGAUAUUUGUAAAAGCUGCAAUUAUGUUUGAACCCCAUUAAAAAUACUGUAUACUGAAUAUUCUAUCACUUAUAUUAUAUAUUGUGAUGUAAUUUAUCUUCCAACAUAAUAAAGUUUGAAUGUGAGACAGUAAUGUAUUGUGUUACUUACAGUCAUUUACUACAGGUUUAAAUUUCACAUGUUCAUAUUGAUGGAUGUUACACGAACCAGGUUUCAACUCUUGUACAUCCAGGAAAUCUUCAUAAAACCUCUGUGAAAUAACAUGUUAUUUAUAUAAAACCACACAAUUUAAAAAUGACCAAAACUCUUCUUAAAAGUAAAACACUUUAUUCAUGUUUCAAGGUUUAUGGUUUCUAGUAUACUGAAGUGUGAUCUAGCAGUGGAGCUCUGCAGUCAGUGUUCAUCUUCAUGAGUCUUCCCUUGGAUAUCCAGACUGUCCUGAAGCUGCAACUGUCUCUGUUCUCUAGUAGCUCUAUUGUUAACUCUGGUGCACGUUGAUCAAGUUAAUUUACAUUCAGCAGUACGCACACACAUCUGAACGAAGCAGAAGAACGCCCUCUGAGAAAUAACAAAGCUAACGCGAGCUGAGAUAACGUUAGCACGUCAGUAGAAAGUUCAAGACAGGGACUACACAAAAAGCAACAUGAAAAACAACCACCAGGCUCCAACCUAAUUAACGGUUAACGAGGCUUAUCGAUCACACUGCCCCUCAUAUUACAACAUAAAGUCCGAUAGACUCAGUAACUAUAGUAACACAGUGACAUCACAGAGCUGCUGUGUGCUAAUCAAAGCUACAAUCCUAACGUACUGGAACUCGGACCCGAACGCUGUUUUUUGCCGGCGUCGGGACCCAAAUGACUUCCGGCUUGACGCAGUUUCCGGUCUUCUCGCGGUACUUCCCGGCACACGAUCGCCAUCUAACCUAAAAUAAAUAGAGAGCCCCCAGCGGAACAUCCCCACCUAGCCUGCCUGCUCCUGGCUGGCAACUGGAUGGUAAAGCAGAUGUUU
rnacentral:lncRNA from 15 species